rnacentral:rRNA from 1 species
CAGCAGCCGCGGUAAUACGUAGGUGGCAAGCGUUGUCCGGAAUUAUUGGGCGUAAAGGGCUCGCAGGCGGUUUCUUAAGUCUGAUGUGAAAGCCCCCGGCUCAACCGGGGAGGGUCAUUGGAAGCUGGGAAACUUGAGUGCAGAAGAGGAGAGUGGAAUUCCACGUGUAGCGGUGAAAUGCGUAGAGAUGUGGAGGAACACCAGUGGCGAAGGCGACUCUCUGGUCUGUAACUGACGCUGAGGAGCGAAAGCGUGGGGAGCGAACAGGAUUAGAUACCCCUGUAGUCCCUGUCUCUUAUAC